rnacentral:rRNA from 1 species
AAACCAACAGGGAUUGCCUCAGUAACGGCGAGUGAAGCGGCAAAAGCUCAAAUUUGAAAUCUAGUACCUUCGGUGCUCGAGUUGUAAUUUGAAGAUAGUUUUCUGGCACUGGCCCUUGUCUAUGUUCCUUGGAACAGGACGUCAUAGAGGGUGAGAAUCCCGUCUGAUGGGGUGUCCAGUGCUUUGUAGAUUUCUAUCGAAGAGUCGAGUUGUUUGGGAAUGCAGCUCUAAGUGGGUGGUAAAUUCCAUCUAAAGCUAAAUACUGGCGAGAGACCGAUAGCGAACAAGUACAGUGAUGGAAAGAUGAAAAGAACUUUGAAAAGAGAGUGAAAAAGUACGUGAAAUUGUUGAAAGGGAAGGGUAUUGGAUCAGACUUGGUGUUUUGUGAUUAUCUUCCCUUCUUGGGUUGUGCACUCGCAUUUCACCGGGCCAGCAUCGGUUUGGGUGGCAAGAUAAUGGCAAGAGAACGUGGCACUGUUUCGGCGGUGUGUUAUAGCUCUUGUUGAUGUUGCCUACCUAGACCGAGGACUGCGGCUUCUGCCUAGGAUGCUGGCGUAAUGAUUCAAUACCGCCCGUCUUGAAACACGGACCAAGGAGUCUAACGUCUAUGCGAGUGUUUGGGUGUAAAACCCGUACGCGUAAUGAAAGUGAACGUAGGUGAGAGCCUGUCAAAGGGUGCAUCAUCGACCGAUCCUGAUGUUUUCGGAUGGAUUUGAGUAAGAGCAUAGCUGUUGGGACCCGAAAGAUGGUGAACUAUGCCUGAAUAGGGUGAAGCCAGAGGAAACUCUGGUGGAGGCUCGUAGCGGUUCUGACGUGCAAAUCGAUCGUCGAAUUUGGGUAUAGGGGCGAAAGACUAAUCGAACCAUCUA